GCUGGGUGUGGUGGCUCACGCCUGUAAUCCCAGCACUUUGGGAGGCCGAGGCGGGCGGGUCACCUGAGGUCAGGAGUUCAAGACCAGCCUGACCAACAUGGAGAAACCCCGUCUCUA
rfam:Nomascus leucogenys chromosome 14, whole genome shotgun sequence.